rnacentral:rRNA from 1 species
AGGUUAAGUUAAUAAGGGCGCAUGGUGGAUGCCUUGGCACUAGAAGGCGAUGAAGGACGUGACUAACUACGAUAUGCCUCGGUUAGCUGUAAGUAAGCUUACCCGGGGGUUUCCGAAUGGGGCAACCCGAUCUUAAUGAUCAUCAUCUUUUUGAAUUCAUAGAUUAGAUGAAGCAAACGCUGUGAACUGAAACAUCUAAGUAGCAGUAGGAAAGUAAAGAAAUUUCGAUUCCGUCAGUAGCGGCGAGCGAACGCGGAAGAGCCCAAACCUGGAUGCUUGCAUCCAGGGGUUGUAGGACUGAUGUUGAGUUACAAAGGUAUAAGAUAGCAGAAACAGUUGGGAAGCUGUUCCAAAGAGGGUGACAGGCCCGUAUGCGAAAUCUUGUACUCUCUAAUCAGGAUCCUGAGUACGGCCCAGCACGUGAAAUUGGGUCGGAAUCUGGGAGGACCAUCUCCCAAGGCUAAAUACUAACUAGUGACCGAUAGCGAACAAGUACCGUGAGGGAAAGGUGAAAAGAACCCCGGAAGGGGAGUGAAAUAGUUCUUGAAACCGUGUGCUUACAAGAAGUUCGAGGCCGUUAAUGGCUGAGAGCGUGCUUUUUGUAGAAUGAACCGGAGAGUUACGAUUGCGUGCAAGGUUAAGGUGCAAAGACUGGAGCCGUAGCGAAAGCGAGUCUUAAUAGGGCGAAUCAGUACGUAGUUGUAGACCCGAAACCGAGUGACCUAUCCAUGGUCAGGUUGAAGGUGGGGUAAUACCUACUGGAGGACCGAACAAGUGGGUGUUAAAAAACCCUUUGAUGAACUGUGGAUAGCGGUGAAAUUCCAAUCGAACUCGGAGAUAGCUGGUUCUAUCCGAAAUACAUUUAGGUGUAGCCUUGCAAUUAGCUUACUGGAGGUAGAGCACUAUUUGGUCUAGGGGCCCUUCAAGGGUUACCAAAAUCAGAUAAACUCCGAAUGCCAGCUAAGUAUGUGCAGGAGUCAGACGGUGAGUGAUAAGAUCCAUCGUCAAAAGGGGAACAGCCCAGAUCACCAGUUAAGGUCCCUAAAUAUAUGCUAAGUGGAAAACGUUGUGAAGGUGCAUAGACAACUAGGAGGUUGGCUCAGAAGCAGCCACCCUUUAAAGAGUGCGUAAUAGCUCACUAGUCGAGUGCUCUUGCGCGGAUAAUGUACCGGGGCUAAGCAUAUUACCGAAACUGUGGAUGCGUAAGCAUGGUAGGAUAGCGUAAUUAACGCGAUGAAGGAUGACCGUAAGGACAUGUUGGAGCGUUAACUAGUGAGAAUUCCGGUAUGAGUAGCGAAAGAUAGGUGAGAAUCCUAUCCACCGAAUGAGUAAGGUUUCCCCCGGAAGGCUCGUCCGCGGGGGGUUAGUCGGGACCUAAGGCGAGGCUGAAAAGCGUAGUCGAUGGACAACAGGUUGAUAUUCCUGUACCGAUAUUUAAUUGCCGAAGGAAGGACGCAGAAGGAUAACACAGGCCACUAUUGGAUGUGGUUUUAAACAGUUAGUCUUCAUAAGAGUCAAAUGCUUUUAUGUUUAAGGAUAAGCUGUGAAU